UGGGGAAUCUUCCGCAAUGGGCGAAAGCCUGACGGAGCAACGCCGCGUGAGUGAUGACGGCCUUCGGGUUGUAAAGCUCUGUGAUCGGGGACGAACGGUCGGCAGACGAAUAAUCUGCUGAAUUGACGGUACCCGAAUAGCAAGCCACGGCUAACUACGUGCCAGCAGCCGCGGUAAUACGUAGGUGGCAAGCGUUGUCCGGAAUUAUUGGGCGUAAAGCGCGCGCAGGCGGCUUCUUAAGUCCAUCUUAAAAGUGCGGGGCUUAACCCCGUGAUGGGAUGGAAACUGAGAGGCUGGAGUAUCGGAGAGGAAAGUGGAAUUCCUAGUGUAGCGGUGAAAUGCGUAGAGAUUAGGAAGAACACCGGUGGCGAAGGCGACUUUCUGGACGACAACUGACGCUGAGGCGCGAAAGCGUGGGGAGCAAACAG
rnacentral:rRNA from 1 species